ACAUGGGAAUUUUUUGGUAUUAUGUAUAUGACUUAUAAGUGAAAUUAUUUUGGAAUAAAUAUUUACAAGUUUAAGUUAAUUGACAUAACCUACCACAUCGGUAGAAAAAGUAAGUGAAGCCACUUUAUUAUUUAAAUAGAUGGCAGAAAAUAUAUUUGAUUAAGCUUUACACCCAUUCAUGACUAAAAAAAACUAGGACUGAAAGGGAAGCUCAUUAAAAAUAAAAGGAAAUCAACAUACAACAAAUAUCAUACUAAGAAGAUAAAUACUGAACUAGCUCUUCCUGGUAUUAAUGAGACAAGAAUGCUUGGUACCUCUUUAACAUAGGACUGAAGGCUCUAGCUUACCAAUAAGGCAAAAAGGAAAAAAGUUUAAGACAUUAAAUGGGGAAGACUAAAGUAUAGCUCAUUAUUGGUAGGUGGUAUCAUUGCAUAGAAAUGUGAAAAAAAUCUCAUAAUGAAGACAUUAUGAGAGUAAUUUGGCAAACUCACUGUAGAAAAAUUGUUUAUCAAAAAAAAAAAGAAAAAAUGUUUAUCAAUAUAAAUUGCGAAUAGAAAAUAAACUAAGUGAUACCAGGACAGUUGAAUCCACUCAGGACAAGAUAGCAGAUUUACCUGCUGCCUAAAAACACAGGGGAGAAAGGAAACAUAGUUAAUUGUUUUCAUGUCAGUGGACAUCAGGCAAUACAGGGUCAGUGAUCCUUGCUGGUGAUGGGUAGGCUCACUAUAUUGUGGUGAUGAUUAUAUAGGUGUGUUUAUCAAAUUAUAUCAAGAUGUAUACUUUAACUGCUGUUAAAUUGCUGUUAGGUUUACAUUAGUCCUAAGAAAGUAAGUUCUAGAAAUCCAAAAACUGCAUCACCAAAUUCAGGGACAUUAAAGACCAAUAUAAGUGGAGGGAAUGAGCAAAUCUGAAUUUAAAACAUGCAGAUGCAAUGAUUAACUGUAGCUAAGACAACCUGAAAAUAGAAAAAUAAACCUACCGGACUUAGAUUGCUAGAUAUCAAGACUGGUAUAGGAACAAGCAUAAACAAUGUCCAGAAACAGUCCCCAGUAUAUUCAUGUAUUAAAAAGAUGGUAUUUUUGAUAUAUGGUGCUGGGUUAAUUGGCUCUCUAUAUGCAUAAGAGGAAUAUUUUGACUAUAGCCACCCACCAUACACAGAAACUCGUUUUGUAUGGAUUGUACAUCUAAAUGUAAAACAUAAUACAGUAGCACUUAUAGAAGAAAAUAUAUGUGAACAUAUGGCCAAGACACCCUAAACAAGAAACAAAAACCAUAGAUAAAUUAGGCUAUGUUAGAAUUAAGAGCUGUGGGACUCCUAGGUGGCUCAGUGGUUGAGCAUCUGCCUUUGGGUGUGGUCAUGAUCCCUGGAUCCUGGGAUCGAGUUCUGCAUCAGACUCCCCAUGAGAAGCCUGCUUCUCCUCCCUCUGCCUGAGAGAGGCAGAGACACAGGCAAAAGGAGGAGAAGCAGACUCCAUGCAAGGAACCCAAUGUGGGACUCGAUCCUGGGAUUCUGGGGUCAGGCCAUGAGCCAAAGGCAGAUGCUCAACUGCUGAGCCACCCAGGCAUCCCUAUGUAAAAUAUUUUUUAAAAAAGAAUUAAGAACUGCUGUUGUUAAAAAAACAGAAACCAAAAAUACAUGACCAAAAGUGAGUCACAGAUUCAGAGAAUAUAAUUGCAAUGUGUAUAUCAAACAAAGCACUAUACUACAUAAUAUAAAAAGAACUCCAACAAGUGAGUAAGAAAAAAAAUGAGCAGCAGAUGGAACAUAAUUGACAGUAUAUUUAAAUGACCGGUAAAUAUGGAAAGUUGUUCAAUUUCAUUAGUCAUCGAGGAAAAACAAAUUCUAACAAAAAUGUUAUACCACAGCUACCGCAGCAUACAGAAGGGCUACAGUGAUAGAACACCAAACUGAUGAAGUCCUGAAGCAACUGAGACUAAUACAAGUUUGGUGGGAAUAAGUUGUGCACUUUGGAAAAUAGGCUUUUUGUACUAAAGCUGGACAUACAUGUAAAUUUUGGCGGUGUAAUUAUACUUCUAGGCAUAUAUCCAACAGAAAUACAUGUUUACUAGAAGUAGUAGUUAGUAGUAGUGGUAGUAGUAUUCUCAAUAGCCCGGAAGUUGUAACCGCACAAGUGGCCACCAACACUAAACUGCAUACAUAAAUUGCGCUUUUCUUCCAGUGCUGUAUUCUAUAGCAGUAGGAAUGAAUGAAACACAAUUGUAUGCAUGCAAAAGAACACAGAAGAGUAAGUGCUAUGUUUUUUCAUUCAAGAAGCAGAUAAAUGUAAUACUUGGUGUUAGAAGUUGGAAUGAUGGUUUUUGGAUGAUGGCAGUUUGCAGAGAUUGACUUAAGGGGGCUCCUCUGGUGCUAAUAGUAUUCUUUUUAGCUCAGUAUUGAUUGUAGUUGUAUUCAAUUUACAAAAUUUAUUACUUGUGAAUUUUUAUUUAAAUACAUUCAUGUUUGAGCAUAAAUGUUCCUUAA
rnacentral:lncRNA from 1 species